rnacentral:lncRNA from 1 species
CUUAACUUGUAGAUAAUGCCGUAUAUACUUGCCGUGUAUGCUGUUGUAUUUUGCACGUUAUUUUGGACAAGAUUUUUCUGAUUUUAGAUUUCAUUUUGACAAAAAUGCUGUAGAUAGGUUGACGGGACUGAUAAUGAAAGGUUACGCCAAUGUUCUGCGCAUACAGUUGCUGCUUUUUGGUGCGCACACACCCCAGGCACUCCAUCUCGUCAACGCCUGAGAAGUUGGUGAAAGUGCCUCCUGCCAGACUUGCUGGAUGGCUACUACCUACACUUGCUAGCUGAACUGAAGCUCCUCCAACUAGCUGGCAUGGCUCUCGGCAGGUUGGCUUACGCGUGGAACGCUGCAGACGCAAUCAUCGCCAGCCUCACACAUGUCGAAAAUCAGGCAGACUACAUCAGCUGCUCACUGAUAUGGGGCAAAGAAGGUAUGGCGUGGCAGAGGCUUGUCUGCUCACCGUGUGUGGAAUACAGAGAUAUAAGCUCCUAGAUAAUUAAACAAGUUCUGUGGACUGCUUUCUCAGGUAUUUAUUUGCUUGCUAGAUAUGUGAUUUGAUUUUCAUCAUGGACGUUUGCAAUCUUGUGUACCGAUGAAACCAAGUCUUAGCAUAAAAGUUCGCCAUUGUGUGCCUGUGGCCGGCUUUGUCAUUUGUAUUGCAGGUAACUAUGCUUUGUGGUUUCUGAGUUCUGAACACAUUAUCCUCCACCAGGCUCGUUGCUGGCGGUGGUUCUGGAGACAACGGUUCGAUCCAUCUGUAGGACGUCACCUGCAGGAAGUAGCAUUGUGAUGGCCAGCCACGUGGUGCGUGUAUCCAGCCACGUUGUCCAGAAACCAUCACAUCAUCUCCAGGUCACUGGUCGCGGGUGCUCGAGCUGACUGUGUCUUCAACGGCUCCACGGUGACCAGCGCCGCCACCGCCGAGACCAUCCGAUUCCUGAAAUGAUAAUGGCCGUACACGAACAAGAGGCUCUAUGCAUCCAGGUGCAAGUCAAGCGCCAUGCUCAGAGGCGUCAUCCGGAGAAGGCCGCACAGUGCACUUUAGGCUGAGCUCGGGUGUAGUGCGCGCUGACGGAUAGGAUGAAAUUACGGGCCGGCCAUCAGAUUUCAGUGCGGGGAUCAAGAUGGUCGGAGCCGACGUGGCUCGGUUGAUGGUGUGUCAGGGUCGAUUGAGAGUGGAGGCGAGACACCCGGAUGUGAAGGAUACGCCGAUACGGGUCUCGACGUCGUCUCGCAAUUUGUGCUAUGUAAUAUGACGGCUAUGCCGUGGUAUCAUUCACUCUCGAUGCGCUAAUAAGUAAUAAAUAGGACAGAGACUGGAAUUAAGAUUAUUAUAUUUGGAUGUAAGGGGAAGGUUUUGGCCAGCGCUAUAUUAGAAAUCGUGAGCGUGCUAGUUGCAAUCAAUCGCGCGCUUCUUGCUGAGCAUCUGUGAGCGAGAAAAUACUUUCUCUGGAACGUUCGUCGUAAAAUGUGUAUCUUUGGAAUAAGUUGUCAGAACAUGAAUGAAUUUUUGGUGUCCACUGCAGCUGCUGUUCUGGAACAGAAACAUGCCGAGAUCGGCUGUGUAUGUACUAUGUACGCUG